GUGCCCUUUUAAGGUUGACGCAGUGCUUUAAGAGGCCAACACAGAAGGGUAAAUCAAGUCUCCAUAAAACCCGGAGAGGAGGGUGCUUGGCUCCCCUUUGGAUCCUGUCUGGAGGCACAGCA
rnacentral:snoRNA from 1 species